GAUGAACGCUGGCGGCGUGCUUAACACAUGCAAGUCGAGCGAAGCGUUUCUGUGGAAUUUUUCGGAAGGAAGCAGGAAUGACUUAGCGGCGGACGGGUGAGUAACGCGUGGGCAACCUGCCUCGUACAGGGGGAUAACAGUUAGAAAUGACUGCUAAAACCGCAUAAGCGCACAGCAGCGCAUGCUGCAGUGUGAAAAACUCCGGCGGUACGGGAUGGGCCCGCGUCUGAUUAGCUUGUUGGCGGGGUAACGGCCCACCAAGGCAGCGAUCAGUAGCCGAUCUGAGAGGAUGGCCGGCCACAUUGGGACUGAGACACGGCCCAA
rnacentral:rRNA from 1 species